CCGACUGCUAUUUGGGUGAGGAUAAACCAUGCGAGUUGAAUGGGAUACCUAAAUAUCCCAUAGCAAACUGCUCAGUAACACAUGAUCAACUUACCCUAUGGAGAAAAAUAACCUCGGGAAACUGAGGAUAAUGUUUCAAAGUUGAAUAGGCUUGGAAAAGUUUUUCAAUGAAAUGGAUAAGAAAAAUGGUUCUUAUUUGCUAUAGGAUAGGAUCGUGUUCGAUUAUGGUUGUUGGUGAGGUAAUGGCUCACCAAGCCGAUAAUCGAUAGGGGCCGUGAGAGCGGGAGCCCCGAGAUGGGUACUGAGACAACGACCCAGGCCUUACGAGGCGCAGCAGGCGCGAAACCUCCGCAAUACACGAAAGUGUGACGGGGUUACCCAAAGUGUUCAAUAGAACUGUGGUAGGUGAGUAAUGUUCCUUACUAGAAAGGAGAGGGCAAGGCUGGUGCCAGCCGCCGCGGUAAAACCAGCUCUUCAAGUGGUCGGGAUAAUUAUUGGGCUUAAAGUGUCCGUAGCCGGUUUAGUAAGUUCCUGGUAAAAUCGGGUAGCUUAACUAUCUAUAUGCUAGGAAUACUACUAUACUAGAGGGCGGGAGAGGUCUGAGGUACUACAGGGGUAGGGGUGAAAUCUUAUAAUCCUUGUUGGACCACCAGUGGCGAAGGCGUCAGACUGGAACGCGCCUGACGGUGAGGGACGAAAGCCAGGGGAGCGAACCGGAUUAGAUACCCGGGUAGUCCUGGCCGUAAACGAUGCAUACUAGGUGAUGGCACGGCCAUGAGCCGUGUCAGUGCCGUAGGGAAACCGUUAAGUGUGCCGCCUGGGAAGUACGGUCGCAAGGCUAAAAC
rnacentral:rRNA from 1 species